rnacentral:rRNA from 1 species
GACGAACGCUGGCGGCGUGCCUAGUACAUGCAAGUUGAGCGCUGAAGGUUGGUACUUGUACCGACUGGAUGAGCAGCGAACGGGUGAGUAACGCGUGGGGAAUCUGCCUUUGAGCGGGGGACAACAUUUGGAAACGAAUGCUAAUACCGCAUAAAAACUUUAAACACAAGUUUUAAGUUUGAAAGAUGCAAUUGCAUCACUCAAAGAUGAUCCCGCGUUGUAUUAGCUAGUUGGUGAGGUAAAGGCUCACCAAGGCGAUGAUACAUAGCCGACCUGAGAGGGUGAUCGGCCCCAUUGGGACUGAGACACGGCCCAAACUCCUACGGGAGGCAGCAGUAGGGAAUCUUCGGCAAUGGACGAAAGUCUGACCGAGCAACGCCGCGUGAGUGAAGAAGGUUUUCGGAUCGUAAAACUCUGUUGGUAGAGAAGAACGUUGGUGAGAGUGGAAAGCUCAUCAAGUGACGGUAACUACCCAGAAAGGGACGGCUAACUACGUG